rnacentral:lncRNA from 1 species
GAAAAUGUGUGUAAAGCACCUGAUAUAAAGGCAUGGUAUGGUUAUUUUUUACUCUGACACUCUAAAACUUCUGUUUACUUUCAUCAACAUUUAUUUCAUGGUUGCAGAAAAUGAAGUCUCAUGAAAAAAAAACUACCUUUCUCAUCCAGUUAAUUAAUUGAAAUUGGGAUUCAAACUUAGGUCAUAAAUUCCAAAUUGCUGUUACUUAUCUCUUUUUCAACAUAUGAAAUAAAAAACAAUUUUACAGUAAAAAAAUAUACCCAGGGUUUGUAACCAUUUCUAACCUGUCAUCUUUUAAUAAUCUCUAAUGAAAUAAUUUAUAGAGCUUUUGAAAAAGUUCUAAAUUAAUGAAUAAUUACAUCCAAGUAAUUUAGAGCAGUUGUGAAACUCACUUUGAUUUCAUUGACUUUUUUGAGACAUUAAAACGAAGAGAACAUUGAAAUAUAUUUGUUUAUAGCCAAGAGGAUUUCAUAUUAUAUAUUGGUCCUUUAUAAUUUGCUAUUCACUAUUUCUGCUAUCUUCACUUUUAUUUCUGUAUUCAUUUUUAAGAUAAAGCUUGAUUCUUACAAGAACUAGGCUGCCAAAUGUAUCUUAUUUGUUACUUAAGGUAAACUCCCAUUUCUAGAAGUUGUAAGAUUCACAAAUGAAUCAAAUUUACAAGGUUAGGGAACUAAGUUUUUUUUUUUAAUGAUAAACAGGAAAUGUCAGUACUCUGAGUAAUAUUUUCCACUCAUAUAGCAAAUAAAUUUUCCAAUGGAUUUUUGGAUUGGUCACUUUAUGUCAAAGUAUAUUUGUUCCAAGUGCUAAAAGAUAUUUUAUAGAAAACUUUAUUCUUCUGCUUGAAUUAAUAGCAUAUGAUAUUUAUGUGAUAAGAUG